UACGUAGGGUGCAAGCGUUGUCCGGAAUUAUUGGGCGUAAAGAGCUCGUAGGCGGCUUGUCACGUCGACUGUGAAAACCCGGGGCUCAACUCCGGGCCUGCAGUCGAUACGGGCUGGCUUGAGUGCGGUAGGGGAGACUGGAAUUCCUGGUGUAGCGGUGAAAUGCGCAGAUAUCAGGAGGAACACCGGUGGCGAAGGCGGGUCUCUGGGCCGUAACUGACGCUGAGGCGCGAAAGCUAGGGGAGCGAACAGG
rnacentral:rRNA from 1 species